rnacentral:rRNA from 1 species
UACGAAGGGGGCUAGCGUUGCUCGGAAUCACUGGGCGUAAGGGCGCGUAGGCGGUCGUGACAAGUCACUUGUGAAAUCUCCGGGCUUAACUCGGAACGGUCAAGUGAUACUGUCGGACUAGAGUACAGAAGGGGCAACUGGAAUUCUCGGUGUAGCGGUGAAAUGCGUAGAUAUCAAGCGGAACACCAGUGGCGAAGGCGAGUCCCUGGACAACUCCUGACACUGAUGACACGAAAGCCAGGGGAGCAAACAGG